UACGUAGGGUGCAAGCGUUAAUCGGAAUUACUGGGCGUAAAGCGUGCGCAGGCGGUUAUGUAAGACCGUUGUGAAAUCCCCAGGCUCAACCUGGGAACUGCGUCUGAUACUGGAUGGCUUGAAUCCGGGAGAGGGAUGCAGAAUUCCAGGUGUAGCGGUGAAAUGCGUAGAUAUCUGGAGGAAUACCGGUGGCGAAGGCGGCAUCCUGGACCGGCAUUGACGCUGAGGAGCGAAAGCCAGGGGAGCAAACGGG
rnacentral:rRNA from 1 species